rnacentral:rRNA from 1 species
AUGAACGCUAGCUACAGGCUUAACACAUGCCAGUCGAGGGGAAACGACAUCGAAAGCUUGCUUUUGAUGGGCGUCGACCGGCGCACGGGUGAGUAACGCGUAUCCAACCUGCCCAUCACUUGGGAAUAACCUUGCGAAAGUAAGACUAAUACCCAAUGACAUCCCACGAAGACAUCUGAAUGGGAUUAAAGAUUUAUCGGUGAUGGAUGGGGAUGCGUCUGAUUAGCUUGUUGGCGGGGUAACGGCCCACCAAGGCAACGAUCAGUAGGGGUUCUGAGAGGAAGGUCCCCCACAUUGGAACUGAGACACGGUCCAAACUCCUACGGGAGGCAGCAGUGAGGAAUAUUGGUCAAUGGGCGAGAGCCUGAACCAGCCAAGUAGCGUGCAGGAUGACGGCCCUAUGGGUUGUAAACUGCUUUUAUAAGGGAAUAAAGUGGGUCUCGUGAGACUUUUUGCAUGUACCUUAUGAAUAAGGACCGGCUAAUUCCGUG